GUACACGCUGUGACUAGCAUAUUCAAUAAGCGGAGGAAAAGAAACUAACAAGGAUUCCCCUAGUAACGGCGAGUGAAGCGGGAAGAGCUCAAAUUUGAAAUCCUCAAGGUUCUACCUUGACGAAUUGUAGUUUAAAGAAGUGUUUUCUGUUGAGGUUUUGGUAAAAGUUCUUUGGAAUAGGACAUCAUAGAGGGUGAGAAUCCCGUAUUUGACCUUUACUUUCAACUUUGUGAUACACUUUCGAAGAGUCGGAUUGUUUGGGAAUGCAGUCCAAAAUGGGUGGUAAAUUUCAUCUAAAGCUAAAUAUUGGCGAGAGACCGAUAGCGAACAAGUACCGUGAGGGAAAGAUGAAAAGAACUUUGAAAAGAGAGUUAAACAGUACGUGAAAUUGUCAAAAGGGAAGCGUUUGACACCAGUGUUGUUUUUCUGAAAAUCAAUUAAAGAACUGUUUAUGCUAAGCUGUUUAGACUUUAUCAGCUAUCUGUUUAGUUUUGAGCUUUUCUUUAAUGCACUUUUCAGUUAACAAGUCAACAUCAAUUUCUUUUGCUGUAAAAAAGCUUGAGGAAGGUGGCUUGAGAUUCGUCUUAAGUGUUUAUAGCCUCUUGCCUAUGCAGUCGGAGAGAUUGAGGUCUGCAGCGUAGAUCCUUCGGGGCUAAAUGCAUUUGUGCUAAGUUAUAGCAUUUUAUAGACAACUUGUUGACUAUGAUUUGUCUUGUAGCUUACUCGCUUAUGUUAUUUUACCUACGCUUAGGAUGUUGAAGUCAUCGUAUCGCGC
rnacentral:rRNA from 1 species